rnacentral:rRNA from 1 species
GAUGAACGCUGGCGGCGUGCUUAACACAUGCAAGUCGAACGGUGAACACGGAGCUUGCUCUGUGGGAUCAGUGGCGAACGGGUGAGUAACACGUGAGCAACCUGCCCCUGACUCUGGGAUAAGCGCUGGAAACGGCGUCUAAUACUGGAUAUGUGACGUGACCGCAUGGUCUGCGUUUGGAAAGAUGUUUCGGUUGGGGAUGGGCUCGCGGCCUAUCAGCUUGUUGGUGAGGUAAUGGCUCACCAAGGCGUCGACGGGUAGCCGGCCUGGGAGGGUGACCGGCCACACUAGGACUGAGACACGGCCCAGACUCCUACGGGAGGCAGCAGUGGGGAAUAUUGCACAAUGGGCGCAAGCCUGAUGCAGCAACGCCGCGUGAGGGAUGACGGCCUUCGGGUUGUAAACCUCUUUUAGCAGGGAAGAAGCGAAAGUGACGGUACCUGCAGAAAAAGCGCCGGCUAACUACGUG